rnacentral:lncRNA from 1 species
AAAAAAGUGCUGCGCAGGAAAUGUUACAAUUCUGCAAGAAUAUCAGGAAAAGAUCACAAGGAAAACCAUUAUAGAGGAAAUGAGCAGUUCUGAAAAAAGCCCAAAACACCACACAGUGUGCAUCAGAGGGAGAGAAAAUGACUCUGAAAUCUUACUCAAAUGCUGGAUACAUGAAGGCAAGCUUUGGAGGCACUUGUCCCAAGCAUCACAAUACUGUUAUGCCUGUUGGCUGGGAAAAGAGCUUUAAACUAGAAACGUGUGAAGGCGUGAUGGUAAGAUACCCCAGUAAUCUUAUUUAUUUAUUUAUUUAUUGGUCUUUUUAAGAACACCUC